CAAAAUGACUGAUAUACUCAUGGCCAAUCAAAUGAAAGUAGGCGGGGUUUACUGUUCAUAAAAGCAGAGCGGGAAUUCCAGCG